CCUACGGGAGGCAGCAGUGGGGAAUAUUGGGCAAUGGAGGAAACUCUGACCCAGCAACGCCGCGUGAAUGAUGAAGGUCUUCGGAUUGUAAAGUUCUUUUCUAAGGGAAGAAGAAAGUGACGGUACCUUAGGAAUAAGCCUCGGCUAACUACGUGCCAGCAGCCGCGGUAAUACGUAGGCGGCAAGCGUUAUCCGGAAUGACUGGGCGUAAAGGGUGAGUAGGUGGUUUGACAAGUUGGUAGCGUAACUCCGGGGCUCAACCUCGGCACUACUACCAAAACUGUCGGACUUGAGUGCGGGAGAGGCAAAUGGAAUGCCUAGUGUAGCGGUGGAAUGCGUAGAUAUUAGGAGGAACACCAGUGGCGAAGGCGAUUUGCUGGACUGUAACUGACACUGAGGCACGAAAGCGUGGGGAGCAAACAGGAUUAGAUACCCGAGUAGUC
rnacentral:rRNA from 1 species